rnacentral:rRNA from 1 species
ACAGCAGCAGCCACGGUAAUACGAGGGGGGCAAGCGUUGUUCGGAAUUAUUGGGCGUAAAGGGUGCGUAGGCGGCUUGACAAGUCUUGUGUGAAAUCUAUGGGCUCAACCCAUAGUCUGCACGGGAAACUGUCGGGCUUGAGAAUGGGAGAGGUGAGUGGAAUUUCCGGUGUAGCGGUGAAACGCGUAGAUAUCGGAAGGAACACCUGUGGCGAAAGCGGCUCACUGGACCAUUUCUGACGCUGAUGCACGAAAGCUAGGGGAGCAAACAGGAUUAGAUACCCCAGUAGUCCCUGUCUCUUAUAC